GGGCGCGUAGCUCAGCUGGUUAGAGCGCCACGUUUACACCGUGGAUGUCAGGAGUUCGAAUCUCUUCGCGCCCA
rnacentral:tRNA from 1 species